rnacentral:rRNA from 1 species
CCUACGGGGGCAGCAGUAGGGAAUUUUCGUCAAUGGGCGCAAGCCUGAACGAGCAAUGCCGCGUGAACGAGGAAGGUCUUCGGAUCGUAAAGUUCUGUUGAAGGGGAAAAAGAGCGGAGAGAGGAAAUGGUCUCCGAUUGAUAUUACCCUUCGAGGAAGUCACGGCUAACUACGUGCCAGCAGCCGCGGUAAUACGUAGGUGGCGAGCGUUAUCCGGAAUGAUUGGGCGUAAAGGGUGCGUAGGCGGCCUGCUAAGUCUGGAGUGAAAGGUACCGGCUAAACCGGUACAGGCUCUGGGAACUGGCGGGCUAGAGAGCAGGAGAGGGCGGGGGAACUCCAUGUGUAGCGGUAAAAUGCGUAGAUAUAUGGAAGAACACCAGUGGCGAAGGCGGCCGCCUGGCCUGUUGACUGACGCUGAGGCACGAAAGCGUGGGGAGCAAAUAGGAUUAGAUACCCCAGUAGUC